GCCGCCAUGGUGAAAUUGGUAGACACGCUGCUCUUAGGAAGCAGUGCUCAGGCAUCUCGGUUCGAGUCCGAGUGGCGGCA
rnacentral:tRNA from 2 species